rnacentral:rRNA from 1 species
UACAGAGACUGCAAGCGUUAUUCGGAUUCACUGGGCGUAAAGGGUGCGCAGGCGGUUGGGUGUGUCAGAUGUGAAAUCCCGAGGCUCAACCUCGGAACUGCGUCUGAAACUACUCGACUAGAGUACUGGAGAGGGUAACGGAAUUCACGGUGUAGCAGUGAAAUGCGUAGAUAUCGUGAGGAACACCAGAGGCGAAGGCGGUUACCUGGACAGUUACUGACGCUCAGGCGCGCAAGCAUGGGGAGCAAAAGGG